rnacentral:rRNA from 1 species
CCUACGGGAGGCAGCAGUGAGGAAUAUUUGUCAAUGGACGCGAGCCUGAACCAGCCAAGUAGCGUGAAGGAUGACUGCCCUAUGGGUUGUAAACUUCUUUUAUAUGGGAAUAAAACGCGGUAUGUAUACUGUUUUGUAUGUACCUUAUGAAUAAGGAUCGGCUAACUCCGUGCCAGCAGCCGCGGUAAUACGGAGGAUCCGAGCGUUAUCCGGAUUUAUUGGGUUUAAAGGGAGCGUAGGUGGGUUGUUAAGUCAGUUGUGAAAGUUUGCGGCUCAAACGUAAAAUUGCAGUUGAAACUGGCAGUCUUGAGUACAGUAGAGGUGGGCGGAAUUCGUGGUGUAGCGGUGAAAUGCUUAGAUAUCACGAAGAACUCCGAUUGCGAAGGCAGCUCACUGGACUGCAACUGACACUGAUGCUCGAAAGUGUGGGUAUCAAACAGGAUUAGAUACCCCUGUAGUC